GACCCCUUAGUUCAGUGGUAGAGCGUCGCAUUCCAGUCGUUUCUAAACUUCGCGAAGGUCGUCCGUUCAAUCCGGGCAGGGGUCA